UACGUAGGGGGCUAGCGUUGUCCGGAAUCAUUGGGCGUAAAGCGCGCGUAGGCGGCCCGGUAAGUCCGCUCUGAAAGUCCAGGGCUCAACCCUGGAAUGCCGGUGGAUACUGUCGGGCUAGAGUCCGGAAGGGGCGAGUGGAAUUCCUGGUGUAGCGGUGAAAUGCGCAGAUAUCAGGAGGAACACCGAUGGCGAAGGCAGGUCUCUGGGCUGACACUGACGCUCAUGCACGAA
rnacentral:rRNA from 1 species